CAGUUACUAUGCAACUUCCUGUCAGUCCGCUGGGAAAUAAGCUUCCGGAUUCAGAAUCUCAUGCAAAAACAGCUAAGCCAUAUUUUCUGAAGAUCGUGAUUUUGACAUUUUAUUUCAUUCUUAGAAGAUUUUUUUAUUCAUCUCAAUUGGAUAAUGUCCAAAUUAUAACAGAUAUUUAAUUUGCAUUCAAUUUUUGACAAGGAUAAAUAGAGAUAUAAAUUAGUAUUUAAUGCAGUAGAAAACAAUAGGCUACUCAUAAAGCAAGCCAUAGAAUAUAAACAUAACGGUUUGCUUUGGACUGUGGAGACAUUUAUUUUUCGUUCCCGCAUUGAAUGUGUUGCAUGCUGAAUAUGUAGGCCUAUCUAUUGUUCAGCAGCUCUAUUGCUUUUGCCUGAUGCUGCUGUUACCUGACAUACACCUUGGCUGUUUUUGUCUAUAAUUGCAUUUCUCAGAACAUGCUGGAAGAAAACGAUUCGAUAUUAGUUUUAUAAUUACAGAAGUACGAUAAAAUAGCGAAGUGGGCGCGUCUGCUCUACUAUCUUAAAUUUUAUUUCGUUCUAGGCUUAUUUUUUAAUAAUCCUGUCUGGCCUCUGCAUGUUUAGUCCGUGUGGUUUGUAAUGUGAUCGGCUCGAGAUGUGUGAAAGUGCGGUUCUGGCAGUGCGCCUGGUUCGAUCUUUUGAGCAUCGCAACUUUAAACCGGUGUUUUACAAAGACGUUAGUUUAGAUCAGACGGUGGAGGAGUUUAUUACAUUUGUUAAGCAAGAAGUUUCAACAAGAGCUGGAUUGCCUCUGCCCUUUAAGAAGUUUGAUUAUGACACAAUGAAAAUCAUACAUGGUGCAAAGACGAAUGAGCUUGUAAUGAGUUUAGAGGAUGAUGAAAAGUUGAUUCUUCGUGAUGGCUGCAGGUUACAAGCAUGUGGUGUUGCCAAUGAUACAGAAGUUGCAUUCUUCAGAAUGGCUGACUAUGAAAAGUUCAAAGCCAAUCCAAAGACAGAAUGGUGAUGCGAUCAGGAUGCAACACAAGAGGUCUUGGAGUAUUUUUUCUUCAGAGGCAAGCAAGUGUGAAAAGCUCAUCAGGUGGGAUUGAACCAUCUAUUUUAUUUUCUUUCAUAGCUAUACUUUUUAUAUUUAUUCUUACCAUUCAAAUACCUUAAGCAUUGUUUGACAAAUUUUGAAGGGAGAUGUUUUCAUGUUGUCAAGCGUAAUUAUUUUGUUAGGUAAGAAUACUGUACAUUUCAGUGCCAAAAUCUGCAUUUUGAAUGCCAAUUAUUUUAUAUUUUUUAUUUCAUUUAUAACAAAUCAGGUGCCAAAUAUUUUGUUUCGUUUAAAUGACACCUUGGAAGUUGAUUGCCAUUUUGUUAAAUAAAGUUGAAGAUAUGAAUCAUGUUUUCGCAACACUUGAUUAAAAGUUAAAUUCAAAACUUCCUUACCAUAGCUCGUCCACAAUAACAACAGCCAAUCAGUCAAACCAAGGAAACGAAGUACAACUAAAAAUGUAUUAAUACUUAAUGCGUUUUUUUUUUUUUGUGCACAUGCAGUCAUGGUAUGGUCAUUAUUGAUGCUCAGUAUAAUGUUGGCCUUCCUGUUACAGAUGGAGUUUGCAAAUUGAGUUUACACAGUAACUGGCCCUCAGGACAAUCAUGUGAGACCUCUAUGGUAUUCCAUUAGGCACCACAUGGUGGUGCUGUAAAACUGGACAGUUGCGUUUACUCUCCCAUCCUCUGCGGAUUCGUGUCAGUCUGGUGAAGAUGCAUGGCAGAAGCAGGAAGCAACGGGACACCAGAACAAUGCAGGGUAGAACGACAGCCAAUAAGUAGCUUGGCGGCAUGUAGAAUGAAUAUGCCUCAAUGUGGAAGGCAAAAUCCCAGCCAAAGAAGAGCGUGUGCAUGAUGGACAGAGUCAGAGCAAUGUAGCCCAAACCAGACUAAAGGAAGAAAAGAGAGAAAACUUUAUUCAAAAAGCUAAGAUUGUGCUUUUGGGUUGAAUUGCUAAUUUGCAUGCUAAUCAAAGACAUUGUCAAAAUGAUGUACAUUUGAAAUGUUGCGCUGAUAUUGACUAUCUGGUCAAUAUCAGAGCAACAUUUCCAUGUUUUCUCCUAGCCUAAAAAUCAACUAUCAAUUAAUUGUUGCACCAAAACUAGCUAGACAUGACUUACAUCAACAUGUAAUGUGACAGAUCAGGUGCACCAUGCACAUUAGAAAUUCAGGUACCAGGUAUAAACUAGGCCUGUAAGAUUGUUUGGAAUAGCAUGUACAGGAUUUGUUCAACCCUGCUCCUGGUGAACCAGACCAUUUCUGAAUAUGCAUUCCUAUGUGAGCUUGCAUCCUUGUGUUCUCGUUCUAAUGUCACGAUCAGCUGCUGAAGUUCAGUUCAAAUACUCAAGAAAGCAAGUACCAAGGACACAUGAAAUUACCUGGUUACCAAUAUUGAGGAUGCAUCGCAUGAAGACUUAAGAGAAUUAGAAAUCCCAGAAGUCUUUUGGGGGUGGACGACAUAUGGUUUUAAAAGAUCAUGACAUCUGUAAUGUUUUUUUACCGGGACUGUCAGUUGAGCAACAAGAUUACAACACAUCUCAAUUCUCACAAAUAUGCGCUUUGUGUUC